rnacentral:rRNA from 1 species
UUGACCUCGGAUCAGGUAGGGGUACCCGCUGAACU